GCCAGCAUGGUGUAGUGGUUUGAAUGUUGGACUGCGACUCUAGAAACCAGGAUUCAAAUCCCUGUUUGGGCA